GAACCAGGCUGAAAUGUUUUUUCUUCUCCUUCUCUGACUUGUUCUGCAGCACACAAAUGGUGUUUGGCUUCGGGUGAUAGCAGACUGAAUCCAGUGGCAUUGUCUUUAUUAUGGAAAAAGAAGCAUAGUUAUAGCCGAGAACUCAAAAGUGUCGUAUGCACCUUGCUGUUACACAGCUGAGAAAAGUUGCAAUUUCUCACUUAGUGAUGGUUUCUGUAGUGUUGUUAGCCAGUGACCUCAAGCAUUUCCAUCCUUCAGCAUCAUUUGUUCCACUUGUCUCUGCUCUUAGCUUUGCCUUUCUUCAAUUGAGAAUGAGAUGGAGAGUCAUCGUAACUUAUAACACUGCUGUAUCAGAACUCACACCACAUCGAAGUAUAAAAGCUGUCACUUAACAUGAGUCAUUCUGUGUGUGCAUCUCGUGAGUAAACAACUGAAUGAGAAAUGCCAAAGUCUGCAAGUUAUCUCAGCACUUCAGUUGAGUUCAAGGGACAGAAGCUGGUGUGUAAAGGUGCAAAGCCACUCUUUUGGAUGAAUGACCAUCAUCUCCUGGUGAUUAUCUUUCAAAAUCUAGGCGCAGAUGUCCUAAUGUGUUUUAAUACCACCUCCAAAUACAUACCUGCGGUUGGUUUGGGUACAACUAAUGUUCGUUGCUGAAUCCUGUAUGGACCAGAGCACCCAGAAAACAGACAACCCUGAGAUGUCAGGACUCUGAACUUCUGUAAAUAUAAGUGAGGGUAAGGAGUGAUGAAUGUAUGAAAAUAUGUUUGUCUACAGGCUCUGUUUCUUCCUCUGUGAAAAAAGUAACGAGAUAACUCUGCCCAUGGAAGGGGAGUGGGAACUAAAAUUAUCUUUGAGGUCUGAACCAAGCCAUUCUAUGAUUCUAUUCUAUAAAAUAUCACAGAACAGAAUCAUAGGAUUAUUAAGGUUGGAAAAGUCCUCUAGGAUCUUCUAGUCCAACGAUCCAGCUACUACCAAUAUUGGCUACUAAACUAUGUCCUUAAGCAGGGAGGGUUGAAACUCGAUGAUCAUUGUGGUCCUUUUCAACCCAGGCCAUUCUAUGAUCUGUUUUCCUUAAACACCUUCAGGGACAGUGACUCUACCAUUUCCCUGGGCAGUUUGUAUCUCAAGAAGGAUUUCUAAAAAUGUCAAAUGAUUAUGCAUUUCUUUAUUACCUCUGAACAUACACAAUUUUCCAGGUAUAAUUGCAAGUAAUCCCACUUAAUGUGCACUUGUUCAGACAACUGAUUGCUGAAAAUUUCAGUUUGUCUCUUGUUACUUUUUUAUCCAAACAUCUCAAUAUUGAAUGAUGAUUUUGCUCUUGGCACAGUUCCAGGAAGUUUUACCCUUCUAUUUUUAAAUAUUGUUGUAUGUAAAUGAGUUUUAGGUGCUUUAUGAAGUAUUGUCAUUAAGCUAUUACACCUGAAUUGUUAUGAAAAGCAAAGAUUUGGGGAUUUUUGUCAUCUUUGUUAUUAAGAAACUACAUUUAUUCACUAUUGGAAAAGUCACUUCUUUGCAAAGCUACAAAUACCAAAAACAGAAAUAAAAACAAACAUGCAGUGGCAUGAAGUGACCACGGGUCAACACAAAAGCAAGAAAAAUCUUCUCACAGCACAUCUUUGUGAUGAAGUAACAGCAAAUAUUUUAGCAUUUGGCUAGGCAAAGAGAUAUUUAGUUAAGCAAAGUAAUGAGUUCUGCUGUGCUUUUCAUCUUCAGAAUGUCUUACAAAGGUUAAACCUUUAAAAUACAUCUGUGAAAUGAAGCAUUUUAUUACUACUGUUGCUUUUUUCCCCUCAUUUGAAGUAGAUGUUGAAUGUUUAAAUGUCCAGGGCUGCAGAGAAGGUUGGUGAGAUUUAGGACUGAAGAUUGUGAGCUUCAGUGCCUGAACUUCUCAGACUGCAUUGAAUGUUCUUCACUAAUUCACGGUACACCAUCCAUUGGUCACAUCCUUCUUUUCUCCAGUAUAUCUACAGCUUUCCCUUGCACUGUGUGUACUGACAUUUACUGGGUAAGGCUGCCAUAACCCACUAGGUAAACCCUCACCUGCCUACAUUUGACUCUUAGACCCCUUUACUUCCUCUUUCACUACUUUACAAAAAGAUCAAUUCUAGAGCUCAGCAAAACUCUCGAUUGAAACUACUUUGUGGAGCUUUGAUGAAAGGCACCAUUAAAUAAAUUUGAUCCCAUAUUAUGCAUAGCCCUCAUAAAUUUACAUAAAGGAGCUCUGCGUAUGAGGUCAGAAAGCGACUCACCACCUUUCAUGUUUGCAUCAGCCUUAGAAAGUUAACAUCUGUACCAGGUGGCCCAGGGAUGAGAAUGGAAGUAGAAAUUGCAUGUGCC
rnacentral:lncRNA from 1 species